rnacentral:lncRNA from 1 species
UAAAGCAGUAAAAGGGACAUGAUGGCGCUGCGGGUUAAAACGCCGAAGCCUCUGCGCUGCAAAGUCAGAAGACCUGCAGUCGUAAGUUCGAAUCCACGCAAUGGAGUGAACCCCUGUCGCCUGUCCCAUCUCACACCAACCUAGUGGUUCGAAAGCAUGAAAAAUGAAAAAAUGCGAGUAGAUGGUGGAAAGGUAAACGGCAUUCCGUGUCUAGUCACGCUGGCCAUGUGACCACGGAGGAUUGUCUUCGGACAAACGCUAGCUCUAUGGGUUGGAAACGGAGAUGAGUACCGCUGCCUAGAGUCAGACAUGACCGGAUAAAUUGUCAAGGGGAACCUUUACCUUUUAAAGUAAAAUUUUGUAUCUUUCUCUAUGGCAAUGUAUGGCUUCCGUUUUGGUGAUGUGUAAUGGGUUGCCUGAGGGUAUUCUUGUGAAAAAUGGAAGAGCUCCAUUCAUUUCCAUGAGCCACGCUAGGAGGAGCUAUCAUUCAAAGAUAGCUCUUCCUUCAGCCUCCAGGAUCAGUGGCACCAGGAUGCGUGCAUGAGCACUGUAAUAUUUCAGCAGACAUUUUUAAUAGCUCAAUAUCAGUAGUGCUGACCAUUAGUCACAUUCUUUCCCCACCUACAAAAAAAGGCAGGACAAUCUCUGGAGUGAGGGUGGGUGUUUCAAAAUGUGAAAAUCAAGCUCUCCACAGAGGAGAAGUUGCUCCGUUCUUGACUUCUCAAGAGACAAUUCAAGGGGCACAGCGUUGGUCUGAGGGUGCCAGGGGGCUACAAAUGGCUCAGAUUUGGCUACUUGCAUCCUGUGUUUUCUUCUGUCUCACAUUAGGAGAUGCUGUGCUCUGUCGGCAGUGUUAUACUCUGAGACCAUGGAUUCCAUGCGCCCCCAGUAAAGGAACAUGUGCUGCUACAACAAAUGAAAUGCUUUGUAUGAGCCUGAAAGUCUAUAAAGAUUUUGAGCUCUGGCAGCAAAUCAUGACCUGCACAAAGGUAGAUGACGACAAGUGUGAUGACUGGCAUUUCGACGAUGCGACGGGGAAGAUGUUUGCCUACAGCUGCUGCUCCAAUAAAAACUACUGCAAUGAAGAAGCGUAAUGCAACACAGCUGUACAGCUCCCUAUUUUUGCACUUCUAUUACGUCUCUCUUCUACAUAUACAGUGUAUAGUAUUUUAACAAGAAUUAAUGACUCCUCUAUUUCUGCUAGUUGGGUUGUCUGUUUUAUUUAUAGCCUGUUUCCCCCCCUGAUAAGGGGACCGAAGGUGGCUCACAAUAUUAAAAAGAAUAUAAUUAAAAAUGGAAUAAGUUAAACAUUAAAAAACCAAUUUAAAUAAUCUGUACAUCCAGGCCUUCCCUCCAGUCAAUACCUGAUUUCUUUUCUAUUCCUUCUUAUUUUAUUCUCACUCUAUUUUAUUGUAACUGUAUCAAAUGAUUAUGUAAUGUUCUUGUGUUUUAUUAUUUCAUCCUAUACUGGAAGCCGCCUAGAGUGGUCGAGUAGACCAGAUUGGCAGGGUAUAAAUCAAAUAAAUAAAUAAAUAAAUAAAAUAAUUAACA